rnacentral:rRNA from 1 species
UGGUGGAGUGAUCUGUCUGGUUAAUUCCGAUAACGAACGAGACCUUAACCUGCUAAAUAGUUUAUUCAACUUUGGUUGAAUCAAACUUCUUAGAGGGACUAUUGACGUGUAGUCAAUGGAAGUUUUAGGCAAUAACA